AUGCAGUCUGCAUCCUUUGUACUCUUUCAUAGAAAGAUAGACACACACCUACAUUACAAUAUCCUUGGGUCGGGGAAGAGGGAUGCAUUUGCUCCAUUCAGGAAGACACAGCUAUUAAGAGUCAUAACUCAGCAAUUUCUCUCAAAAAAGAAAAGUACUAACAGACAGCUAGCAGGUUUGGCCAACCUAAGCAGUCCUUCAUUAGCUCCAUUAACCUUCAUGCCUUCCCUUAAGAAAAUACAUUUUUUUGCUUUUAAUAUGGAUGUUCAGUUUCUAUUUAUCAAGGUAAAAGGUGACAUUAUUGUUUCUUUUAAAUAUAUUUCUAUAAAAAGUCAAAUCUUCAGCUUGCUCAUUUAUCUAUGGAUUAUUAAACAGCAUUUUCAGUGCAAUAUUCAUUAAAUAGUAAAGGAGUUACAUUUCAAGGAUAGUUAAUAGUAAUCAAGGGACUGUUCUCUCCUUUUAUUGAUCUUCAAAGAGGAGCCAAUUAGCAAACAAAACAAAAAAACUGAUGAUGGACUUAAUUUAGCUUUCCUUGUUUAUUCAAAGAAUCAAUCUCUGGAGUCAUUUGAAUAUCAUCCUCUAAAAGCACCAUCUUAAUCAUGUUUACUCUGAAGUAAAGGGCACUCUGCUCAACAAGAAGAAGGGAAAUUUUGCCCUUCUCCAGUGGUCUUCUGUGGCCCAUUCCACAUUGUUCAGGAGGUCCCCUGACCCUUUGGGGAGGCUUUCCAGGGUUGCAAGUGGCUCCACAAAUUAUGGGAGUUGCAGCCCAGGAAGAUCUGGAGGGUCCUUCCUCUAUGAAGUGAACAGAAGCACAAAAGAAGAGCCCUUCUGAAGCAUCAGUCUGAAGGGAUCUUUACAUUUAGUGCAGGUAUUCCUGUCCCUGGGAUGGAAUUGAAGCUGAUUGUGCAUUGCUUGGGAGGCAUGCCUAUGCAAUCUAUGGCACUGGGGGAUCAGGACCGGUCAUUACCCCGACAAAGAUAAAAGGCUGUCGGACCCAGCCCCAGGUUGCGGGAGCAACAUUGCUGUUUGCUAGAACCUGCCUGAGACACUGUGCCUGACCUAGCCUGGUUUAUUGCCUCGUGUCCUGCCUUGGCUCUGUCAGACUGACUCUUCAUGGAAUCCUUGGAUUCGGGACCGGACCUGGACCGCGUUGCUCGGGUUAAGCCCUGGGGCCAGCACAGAGAGAGAGAGAGAGAGAGAGAGAGGAUGCGGGAAAUAUAUGGACUGCAAGUUAAUGAAAGGACGGCCUCCAGGGCUCUCCUGGACAUUCCUCAAGUCUCCCCAAUGAUCUAUGCAAUGGGAUAAGGCAGGACAUUAAUGAGAACCCCUUCAUGCUGUGCUUACAUAUGGGUACCAAACACCCAUGGCUAAUGCUCUAAGCAUGCCAGUAGUUAAAAUAUUUACAAAUACAUUUUAUGUCAGUUUUCAGAGGUUUUAUUUCCCAUUUCUCAUUCUGGUGAAUGUCCUUCAGUCAUACUAUGUCCAUCAGCAUGUCAUUUACUGCUGUCUAGAGAUAUCUGGGUGUCAACAGAAAGAUUGAUAUAAUUUCGAAAGUUGUGCUGGUUUGCUUUCUUUCUUUCUUUUUUACUGAAACUGUCCCAAGUGAUGCACAUGAGCAGACUUAAUGUGCCUUGAAAGUCAUAUCGAGAGACUUGAAUACUUUCCCCUCUCCAUUUUCCCAAGGACAAAUAGAGUCUCCUGAGCGCAACCCAAGAAGUAACAUAUUUUGCAAAAACAAUAAAAUGCAUGCAUAGGAUUUAGAUGCUAUUAAAGUUCUAUUGCAGUGGCUUAGAACACAGUUCAUCCCCUCCCUUAUCUGCAGCUGGAGUCACUGCAAGAAGCGAGGUUACAGGGAACCACCAGAAGGCCCUUGGCGCUGGACCUCAGUGUCCGGGCUGAAUGAGGGGGGUGGAGACACUCCUUCAGGUCUACUGGGCCGAGGCCCUUUAGGGCUUUAGGUCAGCACCAACACUUUGAAUUGUGCUCAGAAAUGUACUGGGAGCCAAUGUAGGUCUUUCAGGACUGGUGCUAUAUGGUCUCGGUGGUAUAUGUGGUAUAGUGCUUAGGCUGUUGGCCUAUAAAGCUCACUGUGUGACCUCAAGUCAGCCAGUACCUCUCAGCCUAACCUACUUCACAGGCUUGUUGUGAGGAUAACAUGGGACAUCAUGCCUUUUUCCAUGCCUUAUUCCCAUUCAUGGUUCACAUGUAUUUCCACUUCAGGUCUUCUCUUCUAGGUUGGCCAACUUUAGUCUCAUUUGCUAAGAGUAAGUGCAAGUCACUGUUGGUUAAUAAAACUAUAUCAAGGUGCAAGCAAGCCAAUAACUUUACACCGCUAUAGAAAUGAGUUGAUUUAUGGAAUAUUAUGGAAAUAACCACAAUGAUCAUAGCUGGGCUAAAAUAAAAAUAGAUCAUUCUGAAAAGGAAACAGUCAAGCAUGAAGAAGCUUGAGUGGCAAAAUUAAUUAGGGGGAAAAUGAUUAAGAUAAAUGAUAGCCUGCCUGGCUACUUUUUGUCACGGGUUUUGCAUCAUAUGCUAUGUUCAUACUGGGAAAUGAGAUUUGUGUGGUGAGGCUACCCUGUACCCCAAGGAGCAAAUAACUAGACAAUACACAGUAUAUUGGUUUCGGAUCAAAUAAGGGCACAGCUUUAUUGGUUACAGAUGUGAAGGUUUGGCCAUAGGUAUUGAAGUAAGCAACUGCAUAUGUCAUUCCUA
ensembl:lncRNA